rnacentral:tRNA from 1 species
GGGGCCGUGGCGCAGUUGGUAGCGCAUCUGAUUUGCACGCAGAGGGUCGCCGGUUCGAGUCCGGUCGGCUCCA